rnacentral:rRNA from 1 species
AUUGAACGCUGGCGGCAUACCUUACACAUGCAAGUCGAACGGCAGCACGGGGGCAACCCUGGUGGCGAGUGGCGAACGGGUGAGUAAUACAUCGGAACGUACCAUUGAGUGGGGGAUAACUAUCCGAAAGGAUAGCUAAUACCGCAUAUUCUCUACGGAGGAAAGCAGGGGAUCGCAAGACCUUGUGCUCUUUGAUCGGCCGAUGGCGGAUUAGCUAGUUGGUGAGGUAAAGGCUCACCAAGGCAACGAUCCGUAGCGGGUCUGAGAGGAUGAUCCGCCACACUGGAACUGAGACACGGUCCAGACUUCUACGGAAGGCAGCAGUGGGGAAUUUUGGACAAUGGGGGCAACCCUGAUCCAGCCAUGCCGCGUGAGUGAAGAAGGCCUUCGGGUUGUAAAGCUCUUUCGGCCGGAAAGAAAUCGCAUUGGCUAAUAUCUAAUGUGGAUGACGGUACCGGAAUAAGAAGCACCGGCUAACUGCGUGCCAGCCGCCGCCGUAA